rnacentral:rRNA from 1 species
GAGCGGCGAACGGGUGAGUAACACGUGAGUAACCUGCCCUGGACUUUGGGAUAACCCUCGGAAACGGGGGCUAAUACCGGAUACGACNNGUGCUCGCAUGGGNGUGGGUGGAAAGUUUUUCGGUCUGGGAUGGGCUCGCGGCCUAUCAGCUUGUUGGUGGGGUGAUGGCCUACCAAGGCGACGACGGGUAGCCGGCCUGAGAGGGCGACCGGCCACACUGGGACUGAGACACGGCCCAGACUCCUACGGGAGGCAGCAGUGGGGAAUAUUGCACAAUGGGCGGAAGCCUGAUGCAGCGACGCCGCGUGAGGGAUGACGGCCUUCGGGUUGUAAACCUCUUUCAGCAGGGACGAAGCGAGAGUGACGGUACCUGCAGAAGAAGCGCCGGCCAACUACGUGCCAGCAGCCCGCGGUAAGACGUAGGGCGCGAGCGUUGUCCGGAUUUAUUGGGCGUAAAGAGCUCGUAGGCGGCUUGUCGCGUCGUCCGUGAAAACUUGGGGCUC